rnacentral:lncRNA from 1 species
GGAUUAAGGUCAAAAGUGGCCCUGGAGACCAAAUUCCCUAGUGAGGAACUGCCACAUAACUUCAUGUGUCUUUUGCUUCUGAAUUAUUUCUUCUAGAAACCACCAACCACAAGCUGUCACGCUGGUAUUAUAUCUACAUAACGUUUAUUCUUCUUACAGCAAAGAGCUGGAGAAAUACAAGUGAGAACCUGUUAUUACAGGUUAAAUUGUGUAACACUCAACUUGCGCUGAGGUCCAGUUUCUUUUUAUUAUGCUCCAAUUUUGUUGAAUGACUAUUGCCUAAAAUAAAUGGGCAAUCGACAGGGGCUUAGAACUAACAGGGAUGCUUAAGUGACUUUUAUGGUAGCAGUAUUUGUUGUAACAGAAUUUGAUCUGUAUUCUAGUUAUUAGUUUUAUUCAUCACAUUGGAAAGUUGGCACCUCCACUGUUCAUGCCAUUAUAUGCAAAGCACUGUAGCAUGAAAGUCACUUACAAAGCUGUGAAAAAAACUCUCUGAACACCAGAGGCUCAUGAAACAAUAAAAGUCAGCUAGGGGGAUAUACACUGUUUGAUUUAGCUAAAUAUUCUGGAUGGUCAAAGGUUUAUUCCUUUUAAUUCCUAAAAGUUUUUUUUUUUAACCAUUGGGAUGUAAAUAUUUCUAAAAUGUUUGAUAUACAUAUUUUUGUCUUCUAAGCAUAGUUUUUUUAUGUAUGGUGCACAGGGUCAUCAUUUUAAAUAGAAUAUUGUCCCAUGAUACAGUGAGGCUCUUAAAGAUUGAGAUGUGUAUAGACUGUUUUUGACACUAAAUAACCCAUAUAUCAGGGCUUUGGAGCUUUGCAGUCUACUCAAAAUUUCCAUUUUCUCUAUUGCUGUCCUCCUUUUUCCUUCUUGUUUCCUCUAAAAGUCUGUUUCUUUCCUUUACAGUUAGAAAUAUGUGUGAAGGAAGAGCAAAUAGGUUCUGAGGAGGUGCCUGAUGACUAGAUGUAUGGCCUUUGUCUUAUGCGUUUGCUUCAUGGUAUUUAUUUCAAUUGGUUGGAAGCCUUGUUUGCUUACUUCUUAAUUCUCAGUCACUUUUGAUGGGUUCAGCAGAGGUUCUAGAUUUUUCUAGUUCUGUCUCAGUUACUCAUUGUCAAACCACUGGUUUAGAUUUUGUGUUCAGGAAAUAGGGAUAGGUAAAGCUAUCAGGUGGCUAAGCCCUAGGUAAAUGAGUUGCCAUGAAUCCUAAAAUAUUGUGAAGGUUGUGGGCCAUUUUUAUAAGGCAAAUGGUAUGCUGUGGCCGUGACAGCUGAACUCAGUAAGUGAACUUUAAAACAGAUAAGCUCCUUUUGCUGUUGUCCCUUUCCAAGAAUAUGAAGCUGGCCUGACGUCAAGCUGUUGGAGAGCCUUCAACAUGUUUAAUUAAAUCACAGACUCAGUGUCAGAGCUGGCUGACUUUCAGGAUUCUAACGCUAUAGCAAAAGAAGACAUGGUUUUGCCUCUCGUUGAUUUUCUUAUUUAUGGCCUUGGAAUAAAGAAGAUAAAGCAAGUCUAACAGUUCUCCCUUCCAAAAGUACAGUUUCAGGCCAGAAGAUUUGACUGCUACCCUUAGACUUUCUUUCCCUCACUGUACAUUGCAUUUUACAGGCUAUACAAAGCAAGACCUUCUUUGCAAAAGGCAAACUCCUUUGCCCCAAGGCCAUACUGUACAUGUGUGGGGGUAGUUGUAGGGGGAUCAGUGUUGUUAUUCACCAAUACAAGAUGGAAUCAGUGCAGCUAGGAGAGAAGAGAUUAAGGAAAGAGGCUGUGAAGUCUGCUAGACCUGGGUUUAAAUUCUGGCUUCCCGCUUAUUAGGGUGUAACCGUGGUCACAGUACUUAAUUCUCUAAAUUUGAUUCCUGAGCAACAAAGUGGGGAAUGAUAGUAUUGGUGCUGUUACUAUUAUGAUAAUGUGAAAAACAACAGGAGAGUACCUGGCCCAGAGAAAGAGCUAAGUGACAGCUCUUAUUAACAUAAAUGAAUGAUUUAAACCUGGAGAUUACAAUAGUUAACAAGCACAGACACUUAGUGCAGUCUGUUACUGACUUCAAGCAGUCUUUUGCUUUUGUUUCUAUUUCUGUGACAUCUUCUCUUAUUACGACUUUCUGUUGGGUGUCUCUAACUCUGGUGCCUUGUGAAGGCCAGGAGAUAUUCCAGACAAGCUGAAAUUCUACCUUUUUAUGAGUAUAAAGGAAAUGGGGCCAUGUUGGACCAAACAAAGAGUAAUAAAAUAAAAUAUAGAGUUGUAGCUUUCAGAGGGAAAGAUAAAACAAGAAAGGGCUGGGGCAAUGGAUGUGGUGUUGAGAUACUGGCACCAGGAAGCAGGGAAGAAAACCUCCAAACACAUUGUGGUUUGUUAAAACACUGAAGACUCCUAAGUGCUACAGUGGCAGGCAGUGCCACCCCACCAGGCAGCAGUGUCCUCCGCAACUGGGGAAGAGGAAGUAGGGCCUAAUGAUUGCUCUCGGAGACAGAGAGUCUGCUGUCCUGGGCUUUACCAGCCUGGCUUGUUGGGUGACCUUGAGUGACUUAUCUCCCUCUCUUGGACAAUUUUCUCAAGGUUCUCACACAGUCCCUAGCUAACUAAAAGGGUCUGAUGAAGAUAAAUGUGUUAAAAGAAAAUUUAGAGGAGAGUCCACAAACUGUCCCUCCAGAUACACCUGCUGGUGGGUUUUAGGAUUUUUAAACAUUAAAUUUUAAUGCAUUUAGGCAGGGCUUGGUAUUUUCUAAUUCACACAGUAUCUACCAUCUUGAGUCUUCACAUUUGGCUCCUGAAGGCCUCUGAGUAUAUGACUUCUGAUUUCAAUGCAACCUCUGGUCCUUCAAACCAGCUUGGAAUUGCUUCAUUUACAACUCAUUCUAUGUUUUCAUCAAUUACAUGCAAAUAUGUAUUUCUAAAGUUUCACAAAACAAAGAUUUUGUUGGCCUAACUGUAAUUUGCUCUAAAAGACAUUUUUUUUUCUAGAAAAUAUGGCAAAAAUUACAAUUUUACCUUCCUUCUAGUUCAUCCAAAUUCUAAAACUUUAAUGUUAUUUGAAAACAUAAUUUGGCACCAAGUAUUCUUUAGGUUAUAAUCUAAGUUGCUCAUAAAAUGUAAUCUAGGCCUGGAUCAUUUUACUUUGAGGAGAAAACUUAUCACUAAAUAAUAAUGAUCUUAAGUCUGUUCUUUUGCCACUUCCCAGAGCUCUCUCCUAAGGCACUGUGGAAAAGUCAGGAGUAAAUUAGACUCCCACAUCUAGUAACCAAAACACCAUCAUCUCCAGCAUUACCACAGUCAAGUAUGCAGCUCGUCAUAAAUAUUUACACCUUGCAGGGUCCUUUGUGCACAACUCUGAGAGACAAAUGGCAUUUCCAGUAAUAGUUUAUUGAUUUCCAAAUGCACAGGGGCACCAAGUCCGAACAUCCUGGGAUAGCAGUAAAUCUCUCUUACAAAAUAAUUUACAGUAUGAAAAUGAUAUACUGAAACAUUAACCCAAACGUGUAAUUCCCUUGAAAGAUUCAGUGUUCCCUUGUUUAAUGUAAAGGGUGGAAGGGGAAGAUUCCUAAGGAGGGAAUGUGACUGUGCACAGGAAAAUAGGCAGAGGACAAUGGAUUCAUUGGUUCUCCCCAUUCAUGCAGUGUGGCCUGUCACUGUAGAAAGACUGGUCAGGUUUAACCCUCAUUAAGUAUUAAUCUGCUGUCCCCUCAAAGUCAUAUCAAGCCCAGUAUGGGCUCCGUGGCUUUUUUUGCACCAAUGUAUCCAUAAGUGUCUCCACUUAUUUUCAUUUUUCUGCUCUGGCCCUCGUUCUGCUGUUUCUGGUAUGUUCUCAGUUCCAAAUUAUACUAUCUUAUCUUACCAGGCAGGCCUCCAGAAUCAAGAACUGCCUGAGUCUUAUGGUUUCUGGAAUGGGACAGGGUAGGGGGCUUCAUAAGCACUGCUGGAUAAAGGCAAUAAUAAUGAGACUGAAGUCUCCCAUAUGGGCCUUCUUUUUCUCUUAGAGCUGGGCUGGACUCAAUCCAUAAUGAGAUUUUUUUAAACAUAAAAAUCUGAUGUGAUCAGCACACAGUAAACGUGCAGUUAAUUUUCUUAUUGAGAAGCAUGUAUUGCACAGCCAUUAUAUGAAUUAGUAACAUAUGAUCAGAUAUGGAGAACCAAUGAUCUGUCUAUUGCUAAUAUAAGGCUACUAUUUGGAGAUCAAACAAUGAUUAUUGGGGAAAGACAAUACAAGCUUCCAAAUCCUAAAAUCUUUUUAAUCUUCUGAUACUUAAAUUUUUUCGAGAGUGGCCACUGGUCCUUCUUUUAGGGUACUUUUGUUGGAUAUGAUUGGUGGUUGUAAUUAAUGGUAUGCCAAAUUCUCCAGUCUUUGCAGAGAUAGGUAAAGCACCAAAAUUGUCCUAGCCAUUUCUUGGCCAUCAGUUUGAGAGAAAAAUGCUUUUUUUUUUUUUUUUUUAACACCUCAAACUCCCCUCAGCCCCAAUAUCCUGGCAUCUUUAGUGAGUCAGGACAAU